UACGAAGGGGGGCUAGCGUUGCUCGGAAUCACUGGGCGUAAAGCGCACGUAGGCGGCUUUCUAAGUCAGGGGUGAAAUCCUGGAGCUCAACUCCAGAACUGCCUUUGAUACUGGAGAGCUUGAGUCCGGGAGAGGUGAGUGGAACUCCGAGUGUAGAGGUGAAAUUCGUAGAUAUUCGGAAGAACACCAGUGGCGAAGGCGGCUCACUGGCCCGGUACUGACGCUGAUGUGCGAAAAGCGUGGGGAGCAAACAGGG
rnacentral:rRNA from 1 species